rnacentral:rRNA from 1 species
GACGAACGCUGGCGGCGUGCCUAACACAUGCAAGUCGAACGGAGAUUACAGCAAUGUAAUCUUAGUGGCGAACGGGUGAGUAACGCGUAGACAACCUGCCUUCUAGCUGGGGACAACACCGCGAAAGUGGUGCUAAUACCGAAUGUUGUAUUUUGAACACAUGUUUGAGAUACUAAAGGUGGCCUCUAUUUAUAAGCUAUCACUAGAAGAUGGGUCUGCGUCUGAUUAGCUAGUUGGUGAGGUAAUGGCUCACCAAGGCGACGAUCAGUAGCCGGUCUGAGAGGAUGAACGGCCACACUGGGACUGAGACACGGCCCAGACUCCUACGGGUGGCAG